rnacentral:rRNA from 1 species
UCUUUUCCUCGUGUGCCAGCCGCCGCGGUAAUACGUAUGGUGCAAGCGUUAUCCGGAUUUACUGGGUGUAAAGGGUGAGUAGGCGGUCAUGCAAGUCAUAUGUGAAAUGUCAGGGCUUAACCUUGGCGCUGCAUAAGAAACUGUAUGACUAGAGUGCAGGAGAGGUAAGCGGAAUUCCUAGUGUAGCGGUGAAAUGCGUAGAUAUUAGGAAGAACACCGGUGGCGAAGGCGGCUUACUGGACUGUUACUGACGCUGAGUCACGAAAGCGUGGGGAGCAAACAGG